rnacentral:lncRNA from 1 species
CUGAGGCCAAGCCACCUAGGCAAAGGCCUAGGGCCUCAAAAUUUUGGCUUGGGCCCAGGCCUCAAAAUUCAGAAUACUAGGUCCAAAAUAGAAAGAGGGUUGGCUUCCACUCUUCCAGAAUUAUCCGGAGUCCAGACUCCAAGGUAAUCUCCUCUCCAAUUCAUAAUUCUUCAAUAUCCUCUCCUCUCCAGUCCAUAUUGGCAGACGGCAUCUCUAGCAAUUCGGAAAGUCCCAAAAGUUUUCCAAUCAAAUCAGGUUUUCAGGGCUUCAUCUUUUCUUGCAGGUGGAUUUCUUGUUUUUUGCUUUAAUUUCAUGAAUAUUCUGAUUGUUUAUUUAUCAUUUCCAAAUUUGGGAGGAAUGUGGAGAAAACUUUUGGGUUGCUUUUUGUUUGGUGGCGAGCCUGCUGGCUGCGAGGUGGGGGUGAGCGAGACUGGGAAUUGAUUCAAAUGUACAAAUAGUGCUAACAAAUUCAAAUUGAGAAGCACUGAGAUCACGCUCAAUCUCAAAUGUUUUGACUAUAUUCAGAUUAGAGAUAUAAUAUAUCUUGAUUUAAAAUUUACAUUUGCUUAAGGUAUAACCAACUUAACGAGGUAAUACUAUCAAUUACUUCUUUCCUCACCCUAAAAACUUCAAAUGUCCAUUGGCCAUUACCUAUUGACUUCUGAAACCACAUUGCAAGAUCAUCUCACAUAAUUAACCUUCUAACCCUAAAUAUCCACAUUCAUGAUUGUAGAAAAAAGAGUAUAACUACAUAGCAAAAAUUUAACGUCAUACAUACCAGUAAGGCAUAAUUAAACUGUUGCGAUUUGUAGUGUUUGAAUCACUAUAAUUUUCCAUAUUUAGAUGUACUUUUUAUAUAGAAUCUUGUUUUUUUACCACUUGUUUGUAAAAUUGAUGGGACUCUUUUUGGUGUGAAAUAAACAGGAAGUAAAAUUACUACAACACUUGAAGGCUUAUAAUUCGGAGUUGAAAUCAAUGAAACAUAAGGCAUACGUUUGAUCGUGUUUAAAAAUAUAAAAAAUAUGUCAUUUAUGAAUACUUUUUCAUUAUUUCUUUGAUUAAGCCUUGUUUAACAACCAUAAUUCAUAUUCGUUACGUAAGAAUUUUGAUUGCCUAUUUUGUUAAAAACUUGCCUUAUAAAUGAAGGUUCCCAUAUGGAUAUGAGCAAAUUCCUGAAUUUUGAGAUGAAUUUAGCCCAGCAUUAUCAAAUUGCUGCUAUCACGAGGACUUAGCCUUGUCAACCACCGAAAGAGGUAAUUCUAGUACAUCAAGGAAACUGCAAUAUUUUUCAUAGACUGGGUAGAGUGAGAAAGACUAUGAAUUAGGAUUGCAUCUAAAAUGAAUUUAUGAUUUCCACAAUCAGUCCUUUUUAUAGCUUCUAGAAAUUUAUAUACAUAUUCAAUUUCAUUUAGUCUACAAUGUAUGAAAUAUUGAAAUUCGACCCUUUGUGGAAGGUUUGACUCUCUUUCUUUAUUUUCA